rnacentral:rRNA from 1 species
UACGAAGGGGGCUAGCGUUGCUCGGAAUCACUGGGCGUAAAGCGCACGUAGGCGGCUUUCUAAGUCAGGGGUGAAAUCCUGGAGCUCAACUCCAGAACUGCCUUUGAUACUGGAGAGCUAGAGUCCGGAAGAGGUGAGUGGAACUGCGAGUGUAGAGGUGAAAUUCGUAGAUAUUCGCAAGAACACCAGUGGCGAAGGCGGCUCACUGGCCCGGAACUGACGCUGAGAUGCGAAAGCGUGGGGAGCAAACAGG